rnacentral:rRNA from 1 species
UACGUAGGGUGCAAGCGUUGUCCGGAAUUAUUGGGCGUAAAGAGCUCGUAGGCGGUUUGUCACGUCUGCUGUGAAAACUGGAGGCUCAACCUCCAGCUUGCAGUGGGUACGGGCAGACUAGAGUGCGGUAGGGGAGAUUGGAAUUCCUGGUGUAGCGGUGGAAUGCGCAGAUAUCAGGAGGAACACCGAUGGCGAAGGCAGAUCUCUGGGCCGUAACUGACGCUGAGGAGCGAAAGCAUGGGGAGCGAACAGG